rnacentral:rRNA from 1 species
GACGAACGCUGGCGGCGUGCUUAACACAUGCAAGUCGAACGGAAAGGCCCUGCUUUUGUGGGGUGCUCGAGUGGCGAACGGGUGAGUAACACGUGAGUAACCUGCCCUUGACUUUGGGAUAACUUCAGGAAACUGGGGCUAAUAACGGAUAGGAGCUCCUGCUGCAUGGUGGGGGUUGGAAGGUUUCGGCGGUUGGGGAUGGACUCGCGGCUUAUCAGCUUGUUGGUGGGGUAGUGGCUUACCAAGGCUUUGACGGGUAGCCGGCCUGAGAGGGUGACCGGCCACAUUGGGACUGAGAUACGGCCCAGACUCCUACGGGAGGCAGCAGUGGGGAAUAUUGCACAAUGGGCGGAAGCCUGAUGCAGCAACGCCGCGUGCGGGAUGACGGCCUUCGGGUUGUAAACCGCUUUCGCCUGUGACGAAGCGUGAGUGACGGUAAUGGGUAAAGAAGCACCGGCUAACUACGUGCCAGCCGCCGCGGUAA